AGCAGGUGAUUCAGUCCACACAGUCUCCUUCCUGUGAGGAGAAGUCAAUGCAAAACUCGGAUGUCUUCCACCUCUACUUAUGUGACUGCAGAGAGGAGGACAGAGGACAGUGGACACACAGUUUAACAUGAUGGACUAUAGGACAGGACUGCUGCUUUUAACUGUCUGCUGGGCAGGUGUUGAUGGUCAGACUCUGACAGAAUCUGAACCAGUGGUUAAAAGGUCUGGAGAAUCUCACAGAUUGACCUGUACAGCGUCUGGAUUCACACUGAGCAGCUACCAUAUGGCCUGGGUCAGACAGGCUCCUGGAAAAGGACUGGAGUGGGUUGCCUUUAUUAACUGGAGUGGUGGUAGCACCACAUACUACUCUCAGUCAGUCCAAGGUCGGUUUACCAUCUCCAAAGACGACAGCAGACAGCAGGUGUAUCUGCAGAUGAACAGUCUGAAGACUGAAGAUUUGGUUGAGCAGCUGCACAAAAUCCUACAGGACUCAUUUUUUCUGGACAGAACUAGAUUUCUGUAA